UACGUAGGGUGCGAGCGUUGUCCGGAAUUAUUGGGCGUAAAGAGCUCGUAGGCGGUGUGUCACGUCGUUCGUGAAAACCUGCAGCUUAACUGUGGGCGUGCGGUCGAUACGGGCAUCACUGGAGUUCGGCAGGGGAGACUGGAAUUCCUGGUGUAGCGGUGAAAUGCGCAGAUAUCAGGAGGAACACCUAUGGCGAAGGCAGCUCGCUGGGACGUUACUGACGCUGAGACGCGAAAGCGUGGGGAGCAAACAGG
rnacentral:rRNA from 1 species